CACACACACACACACACACACACACACUUGUCUGAACCUCCUCAUCUCAGUCCCCAACCCCCACACGCAUAAAUACACCUUUGCUCAUUUUGUUUCUUUAAUUGUGAUUUUUUUUCUUUAUUUGUUUUGUAAAUAUUGUACAAUGCAUUUUGAUAUCAUUGACAUGUUUUGAUAUUUCAGUCACUACCAGUGGAUUCAAAUCUUGAUAAAAAGGGUGUACAAAGAAGUCAUGAACAUAUUUUCCAUUUAAAGAGACGAUGGACUCCCACGAUGGACUGAUCCCAGGGGGGAUGAGUCAGUUGUCUUUGGUUUUGUUUGGUUUUUAGUAGAGAUGUACAGGAUCCAAGAUCCGGUUCCGGAUCCGGCAGGAUAAUAGGGGUUUUUCAGACUAUCCGGAUCCGGUUCCAGGAUCCAGGAUCCGGUAGCCGAGGCUUUUAAGUCAAAAUAGUUUGAGCCAAUGUGAUAAAAAGGGCCCACGUGUGUGAGUAGGCCAUGUGUUUCAACCCUUUCGUAGGAUCCGGUAUCCGGUUCCGGAUCCGGCAGGAUCUUAAGCAGUGGAUCCGGUAUCCGGCAGGAUCCUAAAAAUCAGGAUCUGGUGCAUCUCUAGUUUAUAGUAGAGUCUAACAGAAGUGGGGUGGGGACCGUUGGGAUAAUCAUGGGCUCAGGAACAAGCAGUUCUCUUCAGUUCAGCGUGCCUGAAUGUUUUCAAAGUUGAAAUCCAGCUAGGAUAAAGCAAAUAGACGUGGCCAGCUUGGAUCCGGAAUCUGGGGUGCGUUUCUCGAAAGAGUAGUUGUUAGCCGUUAGCAACUUGGGUAGUUGUCAAUGGGAAAUUACAUUGCAAACAACAAAGUAGCUAACGUAGUUAGCAACUAUGGUUUCCAGAAAGGCACCCCUGAAUCGGUAUCAGCCCAGAGUUAGACUGAUUUGUGAAACAGGGUUGAUGAGCAUUUCUGGGGGUUAUACUAAGAACAUGGUGAAGUGAUAAACCAAACUUAAGUUACCGUACAGGAAGUGGUAAACCUGCUAAUAGAUGUACCUACAGGCAUAAUUUAGUUAAGAACUUUAGGACUACAGGCUCUUCUUUUAGAUGAUUUACAUCUACCACAAGGGUAACUUCACCUGGUUUACUUCUGAAACAGCUUCUGAGUAUACUCCCCAGGAGUAGACUGUUUAGUGCUUGUCACCUGUGUGUUUGCCUCUAUGGUACUGGGUUCAAGGUCCUCCUAGGUUGCAUUUCUCAAAAGCAUAGUUGUUAGCCAGUUAGCAACUUGGGUAGUUGCCAAUGGGAAAUUGCAUUGCAAACAACAAAGUAGCUAACGUAGUCAGUAACUAUGGUUUUGAGAAAUGCACCCCUGGCCACUAUAGGAACGCUGUAGCUAACAGGAUUACAGGAGGAGGUGAACAAAUAGGACAUUGUUUCUUUAAACCAGUAAGGGACCACUCAUUGCAGACUUUACUAUGAAGGAAUUUUAUCUAUUUAAAAGAAAAAAAAGUUGACAAAAAAAAUAAAAUAAAAAAAAUAAACCUCUUUCUAAAAUGAAAAAAAAAGAUUACAAAGUAGUCCUAAAGAGGCAUUGUUUCUCUUCCUCAAUGUUAUCUUGAGAUACUGUUGUAUAAAUUUCAGUCUCUUACCUCGUCCUCUCCCCUCCUGCCCCAAAUCCUACAUGUAAUGUCUCUCUGUUGGCCACUCUGUAGUUCUCAAGAAAUGCUGUAAGAUACUGUAACAUUACGCAGAGCUGGGCAGUAUUUCAGUUACAUGUAUUUAAAAUAUGUAUUUAAAAAUACAAAAAAAGUAUACAAAAUUGUAUUUUGAAUACGUAUUUUAAAUACAUUUAUUUGAAAUACUGCCCAGUUCUGGCCAUUAGGAAGCGCUUGAGGGGGUUUGGGUUAGGAAGGGGAUAGGGAGUGGAGUGGCAUGGGUGUUAAUGAGCUUACAUGUAUUCAGUUACAUGUAUUUAAAAUAUGCAAAUAAAUAAAUACAUUUUAAAUAUGUAUUUUCAAUACAUGUAUCUGAAAUACUGCCCAGCUCUGAAUUAACAUUAGGAGUGGAGGGAAGUGGCAUGGGUGUGAAUGAGGUGCCGACAUAAGAGGGAACCAAACAGUGGAGGAUGGAUGUAGACGUGAGAUGAUGGUGAUUUCUCCUGCACCGUCCGUCCAUUGUUCGUUCUGACAAUAAGCAGUAUUUGAGAGUAUGAAGCAGUCUCACGGCAGUUUGCUUUGGAUUUCAUGUUAGGCUAGUUUGGGUCCUUGGGCCUCUACAGGCCCCUUUGUCCAAGGGACUUGAGUGUCUUGUGUAGUAAAUAAUUAAUAAUAAAAAAAGAAAUCAGUCCUUUGUAUGUUCCUUUAUAUUGUAAAGUUUCUUUAGACUGAAAAAUGUUUAUUGAGGGGGGAAAAAGAGAUGGAGAAACUGCAUCAAUGAUAAAUGUUUUUGUUUUUUUCAUGGAGUCGUUGGUUAUUUUUGCUUGUGUCCCUUCAUUGUAGAUACAAAUUAUGGACUAAUUAAAAAACAUAACUCCUUUUACCAAGA